rnacentral:tRNA from 1 species
GGGGAUUUAGCUCAGUGGUAUAAGCGCCUGCUUUGCAAGCAGGCAGUUGUGAGCUCGGUCCCCA